rnacentral:SRP_RNA from 1 species
GCCUGGCAUGGUUGCGCAUGCCUGUAGUACCAGCCACUCAGGAGGCUGAGGUGGGAGGAUCGCUUGAGCGCAGGAGUUCUGGGCUGUAGUGCGCUAUGCUGAUUGGUGUCCACAUUAAGUUCAGCAGCAAUAUGGUGGCCUCCCGGAGAGGGGGACCACCAGGUUACUUAAGGAGAACCAGCCCAGGUCAGAAAUGGAGCAAGUCAAAACUCCCGUGCUGAUCAGUAGUGGGAUCGCACCUGUGAAUAGCCACUGCACUCCUGCCUGGGUANNNNNNNNNNNNNN